rnacentral:rRNA from 1 species
UACGUAGGUGGCAAGCGUUGUCCGGAAUUAUUGGGCGUAAAGCGCGCGCAGGCGGCCUCCUAAGUCCGAUGUGAAAGCCCACGGCUCAACCGUGGAGGGUCAUUGGAAACUGGGGGACUUGAGUGCAGGAGAGAAGAGUGGAAUUCCACGUGUAGCGGUGAAAUGCGUAGAGAUCGGGAGGAACACCGGUGGCGAAGGCGGGUCUCUGGGCAUCUCCUGACGCUGAGGCGCGAAAGCGUGGGGAGCAAACGGG